rnacentral:misc_RNA from 1 species
AUAUGAAAGAUGGCCAAUCUGAUUCUCUGGAGCCCCUUGCGGAAGAGGAUUCUAAUCAUGUUCCAAAAUCGAAGAAAAGAAAGCAUUCUGUGGAAGCCAAAUCUGUUGAAAACCAUGAUACAGACUGCGCUGUCAUUCUUAAAGAGGAUCAACUGAAACAAGAUCCUCUAAAAGCUGGUCACCUGGGUGAGGAUCCAAUUGCAAUAGAUGAAGAAGAUCAAAAACUGACCAUCAAUAAUAGUAGUAAAGAUGGAAAAUCUGACUCUGUAGCUGAUGAGCACCAACCGGAUAAGAAACUUAAAAAGAAAAAGAAAAAGAAGACGAAAUCUCAGGACGACUGUUUGGUAAACAAGGAUCUUCCUGUUCUGCAAGAGAAUGAAAUGAAUAGACAACCCGUGGAUGUUGA